rnacentral:rRNA from 1 species
AGUUGAGCGAGGAGCUUCGGCUCCUAGCAGCGAACGGGUGAGUAACACGUGGGUAACCUGCCCUCAAGCCUGGGAUAACUUCGGGAAACCGGAGCUAAUACCGGAUAAUUCUUUUCUACACAUGUAGGAAAGCUGAAAGACGGUUUCGGCUGUCACUUAUAGAUGGGCCCGCGGCGCAUUAGCUAGUUGGUGAGGUAACGGCUCACCAAGGCGACGAUGCGUAGCCGACCUGAGAGGGUGAUCGGCCACACUGGGACUGAGACACGGCCCAGACUUCUACGGGAGGCAGCAGUAGGGAAUUUUCCCGCAAUGGACGAAAGUCUGACGGAGCAACGCCGCGUGAGUGAUGAAGGUUUUCGGAUCGUAAAACUUUGUUGUUAGGGAAGAGUAAGUACUAGAGUAACUGUUAGUACCUUGACGGUACCUAACCAGAAAGCCACGGCUAACUACGUGCCAGCAGCCGCGGUAAUACGUAGGUGGCAAGCGUUAUCCGGAAUUAUUGGGGCGUAAAGCGCGCCGCCAGGUGGUUUCUUAAGUCUGAUGUGGAAAGCCCACGGCUCCACUGGGCGGGGUCAGCGGAUACGGUCGAGCUUGAGCAAGCUANGGGGNGCAACGGAAUUCCCNGGUGNUAGUGGUGGAAUGCGUAGAUAUCGGGAGGAACACCAGUGGCGAAGGCGGUUGUCUGGGGCUUUGCUGACGCUGAUGCGCGAAAGCGUGGGGAGCGAUCCGGAUUAGAUACCCGGGUAGUCCACGCCGUAAACGGUGGGUACUAGGUGUGGGUUUCCUUCCUUGGGAUCCGUGCCGUAGCUAACGCAUUAAGUACCCCGCCUGGGGAGUACGGCCGCAAGGCUAAAACUCAAAGGAAUUGACGGGGGCCCGCACAAGCAGCGGAGCAUGUGGUUUAAUUCGACGCAACGCGAAGAACCUUACCAGGGCUUGACAUGCACUGGAAAGCCGUAGAAAUACGGCCUCCCUUCGGGGCCAGUGUGCAGGUGGUGCAUGGCUGUCGUCAGCUCGUGUCGUGAGAUGUUGGGUUAAGUCCCGCAACGAGCGCAACCC